rnacentral:rRNA from 1 species
UACGAGAGGCCCAAACGUUAUUCGGAAUUACUGGGCGUAAAGAGCGCGCAGGCGGUCGUAUAAGGCGCGUGUGAAAGCCCCCGGCUCAACUGGGGAGGGUCACGCGAUACUGUUCGACUCGAAGGCAGGAGAGGGAAGUGGAAUUCCCGGUGUAGUGGUGAAAUGCGUAGAUAUCGGGAGGAACACCAGUGGCGAAGGCGACUUCCUGGCCUGUUCUUGACGCUGAGGCGCGAAAGCUAGGGUAGCAAACGGG